rfam:Camelus ferus unplaced genomic scaffold scaffold1402, whole genome shotgun sequence.
GAGGGUACAGCUCAGUGGUAGCACAUGUGCUUAGCAUGCAUGAGGUCCUGGGUUCAAUCCCCAGUACCUCCA